rnacentral:ncRNA from 2 species
AAAAAUAUUGGGUAAACUUAUCGAAAGGUAAGGACACAAAGCCAUGGGUCUAAGGAUGUAUGCAUCUAUGAUUGCCAGGUUGCCUGU